CAAUCCAUGAGUAAAGUGGCGACCGGGUGAGUAACACGUGACUAACCUACCUUCGAGUGGGGGAUAACCUCGGGAAACCGGGGCUAAUACCGCAUAAUAUCCACGGAUCAAAGGAGCAAUUCGCUUGAAGAGGGGGUCGCGGCUGAUUAGCUAGUUGGCGGGGUAAUGGCCCACCAAGGCUUUGAUCGGUAGCCGGCCUGAGAGGGCGCACGGCCACACUGGAACUGAAACACGGUCCAGACUCCUACGGGAGGCAGCAGUGGGGAAUUUUGCGCAAUGGGGGAAACCCUGACGCAGCAACGCCGCGUGGAGGAUGAAGUCCCUUGGGACGUAAACUCCUUUCGACCGGGAAGAUAAUGACGGUACCGGUGGAAGAAGCCCCGGCUAACUUCGUGCCAGCAGCCGCGGUAAU
rnacentral:rRNA from 1 species